UGCUCCAUAGCUCAGUUGGUAGAGCGCUCGACCGAUAAUCGAGGGGUCCCAAGUUCAAGUCUUGGUGGAGCAACCA
rnacentral:tRNA from 1 species